UUGGUGAGAGCCAGUCGAGCGGCUGGAGAGAAGAGCGAGAGGCUGAACGGUGCGGCGGCGGAAGAUCAGCGAUCGCUGGCAUGAACAUGGCGGAGACCGUACGCUCGCUCUUCGACUACCGGGAGACACACAGCCUGGACAGCGACGGAGAAGGCAUCAAACCGGCACUGCCGCUGAGAGGGCGCGGCUGUGGAAGGAAAAGAAAAGGGACACCCGUGAAAGUCUUUGUUACACACACUGAGGAAGAGAGCGUGUCUGAACACAGCUUCAGCCCAGGUGAUCGUAAAGAAGCAGCAGAGAAUAAACGGCCCAUGCUGGACGGGCCUUUCUACAACACAGAGCUUCACAACUGUGCUCCAUCAGCGCAGGCUCAUGACAAAGUCUCCUCCGGAUCCAAGACCGGCUCAUUCUCAGCCUCUACACCAGCUCCGGCUCCUGCCGCUUCCUCGGCCUCAACCCCAGCACCACUACCUGCUCCGGCCCCGGCAACUUCAGCUCAGGCCCCGUCUAUGACCCCCGCGUCCACGGCUCCAGCUGCCCCGACAGCCUCUGCUCCAGCCCCAACAGCCAGCUCAUUCCCCCCCCCUCCUAACUGCCGCAUCCGAGAGGUCCACUGUGGCAGCCAGGUACGGUUGGUCGUCAUCGCCAUCAGAGACAUCACCAAGGGCGAGGAGAUCACUGUGGACUACAGCCUCACAGAGUGGGGGGAGAACUUGAGUUUCCGUGGAACUGCCUCUCCAACACAACAUGAGUGUAACUCUGACACCGAGAAUAACAACAAUAUCAAAAAGGUAAGAGGAAAACAACACAUUUUCCCUGAAGGCACACAGUCAAACUGACAAAACAUACUUUUAACUUUUUUAAGAAGUGAAAACUAGACAAUUGCCAAAUGUAAUCUACCCAUUGUACACUACCUGCACUUCCAAACGGCAGACGGAGUAAGUGACUAGCUGGUGAACAUAAUGUAAUAAUAAUAAUUAUAAUCUUUUUAAAAGAGCCAGAUAUUUCCCUCAAGAGUUAGUAGAGACCAAAAACAGAGGUAGAAGAGAGUGACUUACAUUCACCAGGGGGCCAGAAGCACGGCUCUACAUGACUGAUAGUGCUGCUCUGUAGCUGCUGGAUGUGUCAAUAGGCAACUUGUUUGAUAACUAGUCCACCAUGUUUACUUAAAAUAUGAUGAUAAUAAUUUCAUUGUUGUUGUUUCUGCUGCCUCCAAGUGGCCAAACAUAUAACUUAUUUCAAGUUUAAGACAGUUUCUCCCAAAUUCAACCUGACAUAUUUGGUUUCUUUGGAAGAUUUGUGAUCUUCACUAAAAUCUGCUAAACCGUGGUAUUAAAAAGGUCAAUACAAUGUUACUAAGAAAAAACUUUCACUGUAUGAAGGACUAUUUUGAAUAAAGUGAUUACAUGCAUUGCAUCUGAUAAUUCUGUGUUGUUGCCUAAACUCUAUGUAGUAAAAAAAACUGCACACCCUGUACAAUACAAACAGAAUACAUGUAGAUGUACAUGCGCCGCUGUGCCUGCAGGACGCCACCUGUCUGGAUGUGGGUGGGCCACACUGAUGUUGGACUCAACAUAAUCAUUAUCAUCAAGUUUUCCUCCCCCUGCUCUGGAUAAUUGUUUUAUUAUGUGUAUUAAUGAUGCAAGAUGUCAUCAAGUUUACCUCAGUAACCUGCUGUGUGUCACACAUGUUCUGGUUUAUUCGUGUGCAGACAAUUGCAACAGACACUGUUGAUUCUCUUGCUGGUGAUCACCUUUUGCUUAUUGUUUUAAAAUGUAACAAUUGUCCUGACUGUGCAUCUCAUUAGACUGGUGGAAGUGUAACACAUCCCUGCAGUAACGACAUUCAAACUGCACUGCGAUGCAUCCCAGUGGUUUACAGUGAUCCCAGUUGUUUAGGAAAAGCCUCUGGUGGCAGCUGGUCUGCCGAAGUAUUGAGGUUUAUUAAGUUCGUAAAUAACUUAAUUACUUUCCUGUUAUAAAUGUUUUGCUAAAAUAAAAGUAUAAUGCAAAUGUAGGUUUGAAAAAGUUACAAAAAAGUGUUUUAUUACAUCCUUUUAAUGUCUCAGGACGGCAGGUAACGUGUGCUUUUUUUCACUUCCCUGUCACUGUCGCUCACUUCCAGGAGGAUGAGCCUCUCUCACUGACAUCCCAGCAGCAACAGCAGCAGCGGCAACAGCAACAGCAGCAGCAGCAGCAGCUACAGCAGGAGUACGUCACCCCCUCAUGGUCCCUCUCCCCCUCCUCCUCCCCCAUCUCCCACUCUGACGGCAGUGACUCAGACGCUGGAGAUGAAGACAACGCCAGCCCCCGCGGGCGGGCACUACAGCGGCAUAAGAAACGACGCAGCACCCCUUCAAAGAAAAAGACCCCCCACCGGACGCCUCCCGGGCGGCCGCCACUGACCUCCCCCACUAGCAUUCCUCAUCACAACCGUCUGCUUCCUUCAUCCCACCCUCCAGCGCAGUCCUCCCCUCCUUGCUCGUCCUCCUCCUCUUCAGCUAAGCCUGUGUUCAAAGCUCCGGCUCCGCUGGGCUCCAACACCAAAGGCAAUGUCAACAUAAAUGUCCCCAGAG
rnacentral:lncRNA from 1 species